rnacentral:rRNA from 1 species
CUACGGGCCGCAGCAGUGGGGAAUUUUGGACAAUGGGCGAAAGCCUGAUCCAGCCAUGCCGCGUGCAGGACGAAGGCCUUCGGGUUGUAAACUGCUUUUGUACGGAACGAAACGGCUCUCUUUAAUACGGGGGGCUAAUGACGGUACCGUAAGAAUAAGCACCGGCUAAGUACGUGCCACCAGCCGCGGUAAUACGUAGGGUGCAAGCGUUAAUCGGAAUUACUGGGCGUAAAGCGUGCGCAGGCGGUUGUGUAAGACAGAUGUGAAAUCCCCGGGCUCAACCUGGGAACUGCAUAUGUGACUGCACAGCUGGAGUACGGUAGAGGGGGAUGGAAUUCCGCGUGUAGCAGUGAAAUGCGUAGAUAUGCGGAGGAACACCGAUGGCGAAGGCAAUCCCCUGGACCUGUACUGACGCUCAUGCACGAAAGCGUGGGGAGCAAACAGGAUUAGAUACCCUUGUAGUC